AUGUCCGGAGUGGGAGGCAAGUGGAUGGCCUCCUCCGUCACGGAGGGGCACAUCAAAAGGUUGCGGAAAGUCGGAUACCUGCACAACGACAUUGCGCACCGGCUUCCAGACAAGGGGCAGCUCAUCCCCACCCCUAGGCCCCAUGAGAGGGUUGUAUUUCUUCCCCAUUUCCUCCACGGACUGGGCUUUCCUCUUCACCCGCUCGUCCGGGGGCUCAUGUUCUACUACGGCCUGGACUUCCACGAUCUGGCCCCGAACUUCAUCCUCAACAUCUCGGCGUUUAUCGUCGUGUGCGAGGCCUUCCUCCGCAUCGAGCCCCACUUUGGCCUAUGGCUGAAGAUUUUCAGCGUCAAGCCGAAGGUCGUGGGUGGACGCCAAGCGGAAUGCGGAGGCGCCAUGGUGGGCAAGAUGCCUAACGUUACAUGGCUCGAGGGCGCCUUCGUAGAGACCAUCAAAGGUGGCAAUCGGGGUGGUUCUACAUCACCGAGCCGUGUGACCCUGAAUGGGCAGCGGCCCCCGAAUUCCAAUCUGGCAUUCCCACGCGGCUCACAUCUUGGAAAGAAACGGGCCUGUAGUGGGGCAAUCCGGCAGAGGUGA
rnacentral:rRNA from 1 species